rnacentral:tRNA from 1 species
GAGCUUGAAGUAAUUGUUACAAUUAGUUUCGGCCUAAUAUAUGACUUGAUAGGUCCUUGCUCU